UACGGAGGGGGCGAGCGUUAUUCGGAAUUAUUGGGCGUAAAGGGCGCGUAGGCGGCUUGGUAAGUCAAAGGUGAAAUCCCUCGGCUCAACCGAGGAAUUGCCUUUGAAACUGCCUGGCUUGAGGCCGGGAGGGGGUAGCGGAAUUCCCAGUGUAGCGGUGAAAUGCGUAGAUACUGGGAGGAACACCGGUGGCGAAGGCG
rnacentral:rRNA from 1 species